rnacentral:misc_RNA from 1 species
UUAAAUUUAUAGCAUGAAGCAUUAAUUUGCCUGAUCUAUUUUUUUUAAUUUUAAACUAUUUUCAAAAUUAAUUUUAGUAAAAUACAUUAGUAAUUAGAAAAUAACAUUAAAGAAACUUUAGGAUUCAUUAAUGCUUGUAAUUAUAAUGUUGGUUCUUUACUAUCGAUAUAUAGUUAUUUUUGUUUUAGAUUGAUUAAUGCUAAUGAUGUCUAAGAAUGAUGGAUUUAAUGUUUUUAUUUAACAUAUUUAUGCUUAUUAUUUAGUUGCACAUCUUAUUUUUACUUGUAUUUUUAAAUAUCUAUUUCCUCCAUGAACUUUGCGAAUUUUUCAAAAGAAUUUUCGCAGCGAUAGGCUGUUACAGUUACAUUAUGGCCAUCAUAAGCUUGUUUCUAUUACGAGCGACCGCAACUACGAACACAGCCACGACCGCGAUUUAAAUCCAUGGCUCUUCUUCUUUUUGUACCCACAGACCCAUGCCCGCCCACUCCUCGCAUUUCCAACUCUCGCAGGUCCAUAGCACAAGCAAAACUACCCAUCACCACUGUACUAACAUGGGUUCUAUAUAGUGCCAAAGUCUGUUGCAACAAUAUACCCUAGGUGUGCCUCUUCAGCAGCAAACAAAGGACAGGAGGAAAAGUGCAAAUGACAUGCAAUCCUGAAACCUAGGUUUGUUUGAAUUUAUUUGGCUUUUUAUGAUUGUUGGAUUUGUUUGAUUGCUGCGUUUGCUUGGAAAAUAAAAAGGGUUUGAUUGUUGAAAUUUUUAUUUUGAUAAUAGAAAAUAUGGGAUUAUGCAAUUGUUGAAAUGGGUUUGUUGAAAUUUGAUGUCAAAAUUUUGAUUUGAAAUGUUGAAAAUUUUAGUUUGAAUGUUGAAUGGGAGAUAAAUUUUAUGAAUUAUAACUUUAUGAGUGAUUUUUUGUAUUCCAACUCUGUCAAGCAUCAAGGAAAGAAAUGGAAUAUAGCAGAAGAACCGAUAGGUUAAAACCGAACCGAUUUCUUUUGAUUUGAUUCAGUUAGGUUGGCUUUCUUAGUUAGGUUUGGUUUCCCAUAAAAUGUAUUUCAGCUCUUCGAUUUUUUGGUUUGAUUUGGUUCAAAAUCGAACUGAUCAAUUAUACACAUCUAGUUUUAAGUCUUGCCAGAGUACAGUUUUGGAAUUGUCACUGACCAAUGAUGCGUUGCUUAUGAUGAAUAAACAAAUACUCUUCAAAUAAUUUUGCUAAAUUAUUUGAGAAAUCAACUGGAAAAAUUCCAAUUGCGGAAGAAAUUUGUUAUAGAAGUUAUGCAAUGAUUGCAUGGGCAAUAUUUUUUCCAAGGCAUGUUCUUUAGAUUGAUAAAGAUAGAUAGUACCAACCUGCAACUUGGGCACUCUGGUAGC